CUACUGGCCUGACAAGUGUAUGAGUUAGUUAAAUAAAAAAGUAAUGUUAUAAUUUAUUAGGCUCCUGCUGUGUACAUAAAUUAUUUCAUUUUAUCCAUACAACAUUUAUUAUUCUCAUUUUCAGUGAGGAAGCAGACUCAGGAAGAUGAAUAACUUGCCCAAAGUUGCAGAGGUAGAGAGGCAGCCUAGAGAUCCAGCUGCCAAUCUGCCAGAUCCCAAAGCUCCUCUCCGGCUUGACCUCCAUGUCCAAGCGCUGGGACAGUGGGCAGGGAAGGCUGUGUCAGUUUCUGGAUCAGAUCUUGGAGGAAACUGCUGUGGCUCCAGCUGGUUGACCACAUCCAGGCCAGAAGAAGGAGAAAGUGGAGAAUCAGAUGCUCCAGCAGAAUUGUGCUUCAUUUUACUGGCCAGAACUGUAUCAAGGGGCUCUGUCAACUGUUACUGAACAGAUUCUUCCUAUGCUGUGAUUUGAUUUUGGGGAGAACAUACCUAGGACCUCACCACGUGCCGUGGCUACGGUAGACCGUUGGAAAUCUCAAAGCAAUUGAAGGCGGCCGCAUCCUCCUUCCAGGAGCCAGAAGUCAAUGCCCUACUUGAAAGGUCCAAUGAUUUCCUUUACAUGUAAAAUAAAAGGUAACACCACUUACA
rnacentral:lncRNA from 12 species